CUAUUCCAUUGAUCUGUGUGUCUGUUUUUGUGCCUGUACCAUGCUGUUUCGAUUACUAUAGCUUUGUAGUAUAGUUUGAACCAACUCCUUGUUUCCAUUUGCUCUAGUUUUCACUUUUUAACAUUUCAGCUUCAAGAGCAAGCAUCAGUAUUUACAACCAAGGUGAUCACAAAGUUAUGGCCAAGGGAAGAAUAUUAAAGAAAAUUUUAAAUGUGACAUGAAAGGACAUGUAUGAGUGUGACCAUUCAGGCUGGUGAACAUUUUUGUGGGUUACUUUAAAUGCUUAGUUGGAAGGCUCAUUCAUAAAUCCAUUUUCCAGGAAAGAAAAAAGAGAUGAUGGAAAAGAAAUAAUGAAGAUCUCAACACUUCCCUGAUAAGAACAAGGUUCUUUUCUGUGACCUGAGCAGCACGAAUACUCAAACUGUGGGCUCUGUGCUGGACAACGCUACUGUGAAACUCAAGGUGGCCAGACAAGAAGAAUAAACUGAGGCCCAGAGCAAGGACUGCCUGACUUGCAUGAAGUCCACCAUUUGCUGAGUGAGUGAUUCUGAAUUCAAAGUCAUACUUCGUGACUCCCAAAGCAGUCACAUUCAUUGUACCACACUUCUCCCACGUGAGAAUGGCUACACUGAAUACACACACACACACACAGUAUACAGAAUCCAUGUUGCUUCUGGCUGGUAAGUACCAAAUGGGCACCAGCUGAAUUCUGGACAGAGAAGUAAGAGAGAGAGAGAGAGAGAGAGAGAGAGAGAGAGAGUGUGUGUGUGUGUGUGUGUAUGUGUAUGUGUGUGUUUCAUGGAGAUGGGUCACAUUGCUGAAAACAUUCUAGUUUCACCUCUGUGACUUCAGCAGCAGAACCACUCAAAGC